CCCCGGGUGCCUGAGCCUGCGGACGCCGGAGGCGGGGCGGAGGCUCCCUCGGGAUCCCGUGCGCGGCUCAGUGUAUGGAUGAAUUGGGGGAUGACUGACUCAACUUAGAAUUUCUGAAGUUUUCACACAUGGUUAGACUGAAGAACCAGAACCAGCAGGACGAAGUCACAAGGAAGAAAACUGUUCUUAGAAAAACUCAAAGAAAAUGGUCCAACAACCAGGGGAAUGUGGAAUGGACUGCCCAUGUGGGAGCAUUGUACCUCUGUGGAAGGAUAUUUUGUUGUGACUGUUUAUUGUUUUAUGACUAUGUGUAUAUGCCUGAGUGUGUGUAUGGUGCCCCGUGUGUGUGCAGGCGCCUCAGAGGCCAGAAGAGGGCAUUGGAUCUUCAGGAACUGGAGUUACUCGUGGUUGCAAGCUGUCUGAUGUAAGAGAUGAGAGUCAAGCGAGGUCUUGAGAGCCAAACUUAGGUCCUUUGGAAGAGCAGCAGUGCUCUCAACUGCUGAACUUCCAGCCCCACUUUGGAAGUGUUUAAAUUGAGUUAAGGCAGCAUCCUGUCUAAUUCCCUAAAAAUGAAGGAAAAGGUUUGUGUGUGAGGCCAGAAGUUGGCAUUAACUGCCUUCCUUAAUCACUCUCCACUUUAAGACAGGGUCAUUCACCAAACCUGAUGCUUCCUGAUUUUACUAGACUAGCUAGUUACUGAGCACCAGGGCCCCAGGAAUAAUCCUGUGUCUGCCUUCCCAGUACUGGGGUAACAGGUUCUCACUGGGGAUCAAACAUCUUCAUCUUGUGUGGCCAGCACUUCAGCAGCUGAACUGCCUACCUGGCAGACGCCAUGCAGGAGGGGCUGCCAUGGGCAAGCAAGCUUCCUGGGGACGGCCCACUGUCUGGCUCAGCUGCCAUGGCUGUACUUUGGGGAGGCUCAGCCCAGGGGCUUUGUCUCCACAUUGCUUCUUGCUGCUGCUGUGCCUUCUCAUGUUUGUCAUUGCUAUAUUCCUCAUAUAUCUAGCAUGGUAUGGUUGGGUGUGAGGAGACCCUCACUGUCUAGACUGGUGUGUUUUUUUUUUUUUUUUUUUUUUCCUGGGUAACAGACCACUCCUUUGGUCUGUUUUCCUGCAGAUCAAUAUGAGGGUAAAGUUUCAUAAAAAAAUGUUUAGAUGAAUUAAUGAUUUUAUAGAAUUCCUGCUUUGAUUUACAUAGUUUCAGAAAGUUAGAUUAAGCUGUUUUUGUCAGUGGCUCUGAUGUAGACAAUCUCGAGGAACGAUUUCAAGUUCAGAAAGGCACACUCAUCAUAGUUGAGCGGGGGAUUUUUGAGGUCAGGGAACAAGAAGAAUGGCCCACAUUAGCACUGGCUGGUGUGACUCUCGCCAAAGCUGGGCUGGUGCUGAUUAAUUUCUUGUACCCAUUUUGCCCUCAGCUUCCUGUUAAGAUAUAAUAGAAAUUGUUCAUGAGUAGAUGUGCACCGUGAGGAUUUAAAGUAGAAAUGGCCGGUUGUUUUUAUAUGAAAGUUUAGAUUUGUGAUUCUUUUAAGAUUUUAUAGGAUUUCUUUUUAAGAUAAUUGAUUCUUUGUAACUUCAGAUUGCAGCCUGCCAGUAAAGAGAAACUGGCUGAAAAAAUUACCUUGUUUGCUUACACUUUGUUAAUCUGUAACAGGUUGCUCUGUUAUGAAUGUAUGUGGGCUCUUGGGAAUAAUUUGUUUCUCAUAUUUGUGUUUCACCCAUAAUACAUAAAACAUUUGAUCAUGUGAAGAUAUUAGGGAACAUGUUUUUCUUACACAUACUCAUUGUAAUUGUUCACUUAAAGAAAAAGGAAUGUAACGACAUUGUGAAUUUUCUUGUGCUUGAAAGAUUUUUCUGAGAUAUAUAAGC